rnacentral:rRNA from 1 species
UGGGGAAUUUUGGACAAUGGGCGAAAGCCUGAUCCAGCAAUGCCGCGUGUGUGAAGAAGGCCUUCGGGUUGUAAAGCACUUUUGUCCGGAAAGAAAUCCUUGGCUCUAAUACAGUCGGGGGAUGACGGUACCGGAAGAAUAAGCACCGGCUAACUACGUGCCAGCAGCCGCGGUAAUACGUAGGGUGCAAGCGUUAAUCGGAAUUACUGGGCGUAAAGCGUGCGCAGGCGGUUUGCUAAGACCGAUGUGAAAUCCCCGGGCUCAACCUGGGAACUGCAUUGGUGACUGGCAGGCUAGAGUAUGGCAGAGGGGGGUAGAAUUCCACGUGUAGCAGUGAAAUGCGUAGAGAUGUGGAGGAAUACCGAUGGCGAAGGCAGCCCCCUGGGCCAAUACUGACGCUCAUGCACGAAAGCGUGGGGAGCAAAACAGGAUUAGAUACCCUGGUAGUCCACGCCCUAAACGAUGUCAACUAGUUGUUGGGGAUUCAUUUCCUAGUAACGUAGCUAACGCGUGAAGUUGACCGCCUGGGGAGUACGGUCGCAAGAUUAAAACUUAAAUGAAUUGACGGGGUCAUAGCUGUUU